AUAAUAAUAAAUAACAAAUAUAAAAUUGUACACAUCACUUUCAAUUAGGUAUUAACCACCCACUUACUAACUUACCCAUCCUCUCACAAGCAUGCUGCUACAAAACAUUCAUAAGCUGGUCAAUAAUGGAUUUUUCAUGAGGAAGCCUACCAAGGUUCACUCGUGCUAAUCGUAUAAAGGAAAGGGUCGUUAUUCUUACAGGUUUCAACUUCUAAGGUGAGUCUACAAACAAUUGUUCCUUUUCAUAAUUAAGGUAGGGAAGUUAUACUAUAUAUGGUGGGUGAUGAAUUAUGGUUUCAAACUUUGAAUCCUGGAAUCUUGAAUAUUGUUUAUUGAUUGUGAAUUUGUGAUUUCGGGGAGUCUUUUAUUGAUUCAAUGACGUAAUUAAAAGUGUUGGGUCAUUGGUUUCUUCCUGAAUUCUAUCAAGGCUUGCAUGGGGUUGACUAUAGUUAUCUUAUUUGAUGGCUAUUAUCCUUACUAACACAAAAAACUAGUUUGAUGUGAUUGGACAAGUGAUCAGCCAGUUUUGUUGUUAUAAUGUUUGUGUUUCAUUGGUAAAGGCAAAGUCUUUAA
rnacentral:lncRNA from 1 species